rnacentral:rRNA from 1 species
GACGUAGGAGGCGAGCGUUGUCCGGAGUUACUGGGCGUAAAGGGUGCGCAGGCGGCCCCUUAAGGUGGCGGUGAAAGCUCCUGGCUUAACUCUGAGUCGGCCAUCGAUACUGCGAGGCUCGAGUCUGGUAGAGGCAGAUGGAAUUCCGGGUGUAGCGGUGGAAUGCGUAGAGAUCCGGAAGAACACCGGUGGCGAAGGCGGUCUGCUGGGCCAGUACUGACGCUGAGGCGCGACAGCGUGGGGAGCAAACAGG